AUACGGAGGGUGCAAGCGUUAUCCGGGAUCAUUGGGUUUAAAGGGUCCGCAGGCGGUCAAUUAAGUCAGAGGUGAAAUCCCGUCGCUCAACGACGGAACUGACUUUGAUACUGGUUGACUUGAGUUAUACGGAAGUAGAUAGAAUGUGUAGUGUAGCGGUGAAAUGCAUAGAUAUUACACAGAAUACCGAUUGCGAAGGCAGUCUACUACGUAUAUACUGACGCUCAUGGACGAAAGCGUGGGGAGCGAACAGGAUUAGAAACCCGAGUAGUCC
rnacentral:rRNA from 1 species